CAACUCCAGAAAAGUCAGUGGUAGAUAUGCCCUUAAGGAUGUUGGAAACUUUAAUACCACCAGUUUCCCAUUGUUUGCUCUUGUCUUUGCUUUCCUCUGUGCAUUCAUUUCUCAGCAAUACUUAAACCUCAGCAUUACCAGCCCAGUGCUUGUAUCCUCAUUGCCUUAUGGCCAGAGAGGAACAAGACACUUCUUCUCCCUAAGCUGUGUUUGAACAAUACCAGAAAAGGGCUCUGGUUGGCAAAGACUGGGUGAAUGUGGGGGAGAAAUUGUGCCUAGGAAAGAGCAGAUGGGAGGAGCAACCCAAACAAGGUUACCAGGUUUACAGGUGUGAGGUACACAGCUAUUGAAAUUCUUGUCUCUUCUAAAGGAGGAACUGAGUAAAUUUGUGUGGGGAGAGAGAAAGGGGCUGGUGAUGUCUACGAUGGCUUUAAUUUCCUGAAAAUUAUGCAAGCUUCAUUUUAUUCUACCAUGUAACUUCAAAUGAAUUCAUUAUAUCCCUAAUUAUAGUUUUAUUUGAUACAUUUUGGAAGACUUCGACAUAUUAUAUAUGGCAUUUGAUGGCAGGAAUUUGAUUAAAAUAAAGAUUUCUGCUUAGAAGAUAGGCACAAAAAUGUAAAAUACCUUCAAAGGAAGUCUUAAUUCUUCACAAAAGGUUAUCCGAAUGAUUUCCUGAGUAUUUCUAUCUUUUAAAAAGGUACAUAUUGUGUGGUAAUUGUUCUUUUAACUACUGACACAAUUAACGCCUAAUGCAUGAGAAAUAUAAUUUAUGGUUUUAUUUGGCAUGUACUUAUGCACCUGCAUAGCAAUUACUGAUGUGACAUUUUUGUCUGCACUAUAAAGCAUUGCACAUCCUCCCUUUCAUCAGUUUAAAAUUGAAGCAAAGAGGCUCGCUCCUUGGGGAGUACCUGCCCUGAUCUUAUCUGGUAGAAUGAAAAUAUGAUUGCCUUACUGACACUAUAAAUUAUGCUUUCCCAACUGGAGGACCCUUCUGCAAUAGUAAUCUACACCAUUAGUGUGACUUUUUUGCUCUAUAGGAAGUUGUUUUACCUUUACAGUACUUAAAUAGAAAGUCUUUCUUUUUUUUUCAUCUCAAAUUAUAUGGCAAUUGAACACCACAAAGAAGUAUUUCCUAUGAAACACACGAUGUAACGUUUCUCUUUAUUUUAAUGAUGAACAUAAGGAUCUGAUUCAAAUGGUGAGUAAGUAUCAAAACUGUAAAGUUAAGUGAAACUAUAUCAAUUUCUUCCUUUGAAAUAAGUGGUUAAAUGGCUCUCUUGGGUGAACUUUUUCUUUAGCUUUUUCCAUUUACAAUGAAUUGGAAACACAAAUAGCCAAAACUGUCACUGCCUUGAAAGUGAAAGUGAAAUCCUUGUUUGUGUGGUCUCUGUAGACAUUUCAUGCCAAAGGUGGUGAUUUCUCCAAGGUUCUUGUUAUAUCCAUAACCUCAAAUGCUUUGGGAUGAAACUCUGCUCAGAGCAAAAAUGGCAGAAUUCAGAAGGAAUUUGUGGAAGUGGAGUUUUUGUUACUGUAAUUGAAUAAAAAGUAAUUCUCCCCAUGUAAUUGAGAAAGAGUAAGUAAAGUAAAAAAAAAAAAAAAAAAA